rnacentral:misc_RNA from 1 species
GUUGAAGAACGUAGCGAAAUGCGAUAAGUAAUGUGAAUUGCAGAAUUCAGUGAAUCAUCGAAUCUUUGAACGCACCUUGCGCUCCUUGGUAUUCCGAGGAGCAUGCCUGUUUGAGUGUCAUUAAUAUAUCAACCUUCUCUUUUUUGAGUUGUUUGGAUGUGGGGGUUUGCUGGCCUCUUAAAUGAUUCAGCUCCCCUGAAAUGCAUUAGCAGAACAACCUGUUCAUUAGCGUGAUAAUUAUCUAUGCUAUUGAAUGUGAGGGCAGUUCAGCUUUCUAACCGUCCUUGGACAAUUCAUCAUUAAUGUGACCUCAAAUCAGGUAGGACUACCCGCUGAACUUAAGCAUAUCAAUAAGCGGAGGA